rnacentral:rRNA from 1 species
UACGUAGGAGGCAAGCGUUGUCCGGAAUUAUUGGGCGUAAAGAGCUCGUAGGCGGCUUGUCACGUCGGGUGUGAAAGCCCGGGGCUUAACCCCGGGUCUGCAUUCGAUACGGGCAGGCUAGAGUGUGGUAGGGGAGAUCGGAAUUCCUGGUGUAGCGGUGAAAUGCGCAGAUAUCAGGAGGAACACCGGUGGCGAAGGCGGAUCUCUGGGCCAUUACUGACGCUGAGGGGCGAAAGCGUGGGGAGCGAACAGG